GUGGAAUCUUCUGGUUAGAACCUUGAACCAUUGUCUCCUACAGCAGAUGUCACAAUAGGAUUGUCCAGAAGGUCAAGGACUUUGAGAUUCAAUGGCUGUUUAUUGAAGCUACAGUGGGGUAACUCUGAGUAACUUGUUCAAGAUUUUUUAAAAUACUUGGAUUCAUCAGGACGAGAUUUUCCAGGGGGCUCUCUGACCCGAUCCUGUUCACUCUCAUUCUUUGGGACAAGGACAGCUUUGGCAGUGAGUCUAGAUGCCAAACCCACCAGCAGGCAAGGGGAUCUAUCUUGGGGUGCUUAGCAUUGUACAGCUCAAAGUGUGUGGCAACUCACUGUGUACGCAAGCUUGAAAACAAUCAGCAAUCUUCUUCAUUCAAUUAAACACUAACCAGCCUAGAUGCCAGAGAGAAGGGCAGGGUGGCAUCUUCUCUGAGAGCAUCUGCCAGUCCUUCCACACAGCAUGAGACUGGGUGUAAGAGACACUGCACUACUCUAACAAAAGAAUCCGGACGGUGGGAAAUCUGUGGAAUCUCUUCCUACACUGAAGAUGUUCUAAGAGAUGCUGGAAUUGAAGCCAAGAUCCAGAACUGCAAAUUAAAUAGCAAUGAAACCACACCACCAAGAUAGCCAAGAUAAAAACAUCUGACAAUACCAAAUGCUGUGGAAGAUACUAAUCAAAUUGAACUCUCUCUGUUGGUGAGAAGACAAACUGGUAGAGGACUAUUGUGGUUUAUAUCUAGAUGUCAUAAGUGGGGCUUUUGGGAGGUGAGUGGAUCAUGGGGCAUGGUACUCAUCCAUGCAUUACUCCACUGAUGAGUUUAUAACUAAAUGUGAUGUUGGGAGGUGAAACGUGAUUGGAGGAGGUGAGGGUGUGUUCUGGAAGGGUUUAUCUCCCUCCUCCUCCCUUGAUCUAUCUCUCUGUUUCCUGCCUCCAUGUUACCAACUGUUUCUCC
rnacentral:lncRNA from 1 species